GUUUUGUUUGUUGGAGUUGAGUGUUUAUCAUUCAUAAAUUUCGAAAAAAACAUCCGUCGGUUUUUUUGGUUUUUUGCAUUUUGGUAUCGUUAGUUUUUGAAAAUGUUUCGAAUUGAAGUACGAAAUGAAAUGCAUUAAAAAUGAAAUAUUUCGAAGGAUUUAUAGUUUUUGAGGUUUGGCGUGUUUCGACAAUGAUUUCGAAAAAUGAUUAGAAGAGAGAAAAAGAAAUGAAAGAAUAUAUAAUAUAAAUACAUUUAACAAAUUUUAGUGUGUGUGUGUGUAUGUGUGUGUGUGUGUGUGUGUAUGUGGCGUGUGUCUGUCUGCGUUCAGUGUUAUCGGAUAGUUUUCGUUGUUCAUCUUUGCACUUGGAUGAAUCACAUUUACAAAUGAGUCCUAGGACCGGGAACUUCAGGUGAGAAUUCUGAACACUGAUAGUGAAAACGAGAGUGGGUGGAAAACUGGGGGCUGGUGGGUGGUGGUGGCAUUGGUGGUGGUAGUGGUGGUGGUGUUGGCGCUAGUUGGGUGGCCUUGUGGGUGGGUGGACACAUAGAGCAGAAAAGUUUACAACAAUUACGACACUCAGUAUGUGGUUGUUGUGGUGUGAAAAACACUUAUGAAAGGAUCUUACAUACAUGCCCGACAUUGCGGAUUGAACAGAGAGAUUCGUUUAAAGGGGUUUGUAAACUUUUACAUGUAUAUUAUUGUUAUUAUGGUAAUAAUCUUUUUCGGCGAUCAAACGACACUUAGGUGAAAGAAGAAUUAUUCAGUGGUGUGUGACUGUGUUGGAUGUACAAUGUACACUGUACACAGUGGAAAAGAAAUAAUAUGAAGCGAUACUAACGUAUUUUUUUACAAUGUAAGACACCUGCAACAAAUGAUGCGCAAAGUAAGAAAAGAAAACGAAACAAUUAUUAGACUUGGCUAGUCCAGAUAGUUCAUGUCUGACUACAUUAUACUAGAAUCUAUAUAUUAAUAGGCGUAUGAUAAGUGUGUUCAUCGAUGAGUUCUAGUUUCGGUUUGAAAUGUAUCUGUUCAGAUGAUAGCUUCAUGAGUGAGUAGGUCAGAAAUUACGUACCACAGGGGAGUAAAGUGUAGCUGAACUUGUUAUAAGUUUUUGACUAGCUUACUCUAGGGAAUUUAUACAAUUUAUAUGUAAAGUCCAUAGGGAAUGAUAAGUUAUAUACAUUUUUAGAGUUUCAAAAAGGCGUUAGAAACGGACAUAAUUUUUCCUUAGCUUUUUAUAUUCUUUAUAUUAUUUUUCUCAAUUUCUGACUACGUUGGAAUGUUUUUUUUCAGGUACAUGUCUCUGUAUGCGUGUUGUGUGUUCAUGUGUGUGAGCGUGUCUAUAUAAAUACUACGAUUAUACUUUACUUGGCCAAAUUUCUCAAUGGGCAUAAACUAGAAAACGAAAAACGCAAAACUUUCACAUACAACUCAAUACAAAAUUUGGGAAUGUAACGAAAAACUUGUCUUAAAUUUUCAGUGAGCCAAAAUUUUUCAAAUCGUCAGGGUUUUCAACUAAUUAGCGAGUACAAGGACGAGUUAUGUAAGAACGAGCGAAAUAAACCCAGUGGGACGUUAAAGAAGUGUGUUAAAUACCAUCUUUAAGCUGCAAUAAACUUGAGAAAGACUCGAAAUAUCUGCAACGGAGCCCGCACAACAAGUUUCACGACUCUGGCUGCUCGAAUCAGUGAGAUUAAACUGUUGAAGCAACCCACGCCGCAGUUUAUUAUCAUCAAGUCAGCCAAAGAGGUGCGAACGCUGGUGCAGCAAUAUUUCCCCCUUCGGUUGCCACAAAAGUUGUGUAGGUGUCAAAAACAAAAGCGAUGCAUAACCCAAGCCAAAACGAUGAAAAGCGGAAAAUGUGCUUUGAAGUUUUCCACGUUUGAUUUUCUUGGACACCUCGGCCGCAUACAAAUUGCACUCCCCCAGCGGACGCAAAAUCGGAGACUGGCCCAUAUGUCGACCAGACUUCUUGUUCACUGCCACCGAAGCACAUGAUAGCGAUAUAUAUUUUAGGUGAUUUAGUACGAUUAUAUAGCUAUUUUUGUUUACAUCGAUUUGACCCAGAGGGCGAGACACACGGACACCUGUUUGUUGUUACUUAUGAAUCGGUUUUGGCCAUUCAGUUGCCGGCUUCGAAGCGAUUCGAAUUGCGGUUUACGGAUCGGGGCUGACGAGCUCUUGAAAAGGCCCAAAACAACAUCACAAAUGCACGCCGCAAACUCAACUGACUGACUGGCGACUGGCUGACUUACUCGCAAGAAAAUCGAAAUCAAAACGAAUUUUCAUCUCUUUUUUCCGAUCUCUUGGCGUCUCAAGAGCGCCACAUACCGCCCACACAUAUGUUUAUAUGUUUGUAUCCAAGCUCUCCGGCCGCUCGAGAGAUGAGAUCUUUGAGAGAUCAGAUAUGGUCGAGCAACAUGUGCACAUGCGAUCACCAAGUGGACCACCAUGCGACAAUGGGCAUGGGAACGUGAAUGGGAAUCCAGAGUGGUCAUGGGAAUACAAAUAAAAUUGAAAAGAGGGAAAUGGGAAAACACUCGGAAAAUGGAACUGUCUGCGCGGUUAGGCUCUCAGUUCGCGUGCUUGCCGCACGUGUUGUUGUCUAAUUUAUUUUUAAAUCAAUCAACUCUCACCACUCUGCGCCCUCAUUAAACUUGCAAUUGGGAUCGUCGGUCUGACACACUUUGUUGCGAUGAGCGACAUAUCGAAAGGGAUCAUCAAGUGGUUGAUAAAAUGGGGGUCUAUUUUAUGUAGUCUUAAGAGCUUAAAAAAUUAAUCAACAAUUAUAUACUACUUUGUUAAAUUAUGCAUAUUUUGGUAUAUAAAUCAGAACCUCUCACAAAAACUAAGCCCGAAUGUUAAAUUUACUAAAACAGCUCAUUAACGAAACCCAUUUUAUGAGUAAUACUACAAGUCUGAACAUAUCAUUUGGUGCCUUGGAAAUUUAUGAAUGUGUUAUUAGUUUGUUUGCUUUUGCUUUUUAUAAAUAAUACACACCUCCACAUGGCCCCAACCAUCGGCGUUCAUUUUGGCGGCUGCCUCGACACUUUCCUUGGCGCCCAUUGU